AGGUGGAAAUGACCUCUGACUCCAAGGGAAACCCCAGGAAGACCAGUUAAAGCUGUGUUUGUGUGGCAGGACGCCUGAACGCAAGGCUUAGAGAGCUGUGACUUCCAGCACUUUGCUGAAGAAGAUUGUUGAAACCAGACAGCCUGACUUUGUUCCCAAUCGCAGUGAGAAAGCACUCGGUCUGUCCUCAUGGAGUGUGUGACAAGGGGGAGACCUCCAUAGGGCACUUCCACGGAGUUCGACGCUAAAGCAGGCAAAGAACAAACACAAGAGGAAGAGUCAUUUUCAUCGGAGUUCCCAGAGCUCAGAGAGAGGGAAGAUGAAAAGCGCUUCAUUUCUCACGUUCGCCAGAGGCGGCCCAGAUGUUACAUCAUCCGGUUGGACACACUGAGAACAGAAUCUAGAUCCCGUGAGGGGAAGAGCUCAGGGUGCUCGUGAAAGAAGAACUUGGAAGUCUCUGGAGAGGGACCAGAGUCAAUCCUUGCCAACUUCUAAUUUUAUUUUAUUUUUUUAUAUGCGUUUAACUUUCAAUUAACUGUGGGAAUGAGCCGACCUUGAAAGACAAAUUCCAACAACAGCCAUGCCAGGCUUCAUCUUUUCCUUCCCCCAAAGAAUCAUUCACAAGAGGAAUGACUGAGAUAAAGGAAAACACGCUUGAAAUUCGAUGUUUAUGUGUCUGAAAAACAACAACACAUCUUGCCCUUGCUCCUUUUGGGGGAGAUGGUAAUAUAAUAUAGAAAGACUAACUUCCUAGUCCAAGCAUCAGAAUUGCCAGGAGUAGAAUUUGAGCCCAGGCAGGGAAUUGCUUGCAUGAGAUCCAUCACAGAGGUUCAGUUCUUCUAGGCUAAAGACUGGUCAGUGUUUUAAAAUAAAAUUAAGCAUCCUCUAGGACAUCAAAGUUUAUUCAGAUCCUUGGUGAAUCUCUGAGUUAAGGAUGAAGACUAGAAGAAGGGAAAGGAGGAACCUACAAGGAGAUGGAGGAUGCAUCACUGGCCCCAAUAGUCCUGGAAAAUGAAUCCCACUACCCAUAAAAAUGUGGCGUCUGUAAAGUAAACACCCUCUUAUUAGACCUCAGAAGUACCAUGUGGGAGCCCACAGAGGCUAUCUAGUGAGAACUUUCUCGGGGUCAGAGAAUCUGAGCUUGCUUUACCCAGCAGGCCUGCAUAAGGGGAUGAUUUGACCACGGGUAUGGUUGCCAGGUAUUUAGAAAGGUCUACACUUGCGGUGUGUUUUGAUCUAGCAAGGAGGAGGUCUUUUGCCCUGCCCCUUGGCAUUGUUAUAAAAAGCCCUUUUGAAUGAAUGGGAAAGGCCGUUGGGUAGUGAUCCAGGCCCUCCUGAAGCUAUCCUGUGUUUCUGUCUUCCUUCUCGUCAACUAGGUCUCUCUAUCUAAUACUUUCUUAGCACCCUCUCCCCCUCAUAAGGACCCUAGAAAGGGUGGGAAAGAUAGGAGCUGGACCCCCACAGUACCAUCUUAUUUCAUCAUCAAAUUUCUCUGCGCUAUGGAAAAGCCAGACAUAGAUAUAAACAGUAAGAGAUGUCACAGGCUUGGACGUCGGUUUAGGGGUAACGGAGCCAAUAGCAUCCCAGUACGUGGCUUCAGUGGUUGAUCUGAUAUAACUGGAAGUCCAUUGUUUUCUCCAACCCCAGUGAAGAAAAGCCCAAGGGCCGCAUCUGAUACACGAUUGCCAGCUAUGGAUAGACAGGCUUUCUAUACACGCCUGCGUGAUGGCUCAUGCCUUUAUUUCUAGCAGUCAGAGAGAUAAGCAUUGCCAUGAGUUCUAGACCAGUUGGGGAUAUAGACUGAGACUCUUAACACACACACACACACACACACACACACACACACACACACACACACAUACACACACCUACUACUGCUAUAAACCCAUACCUGCUAUUCUCUCUGUCUCUGUCUCUGUCUCUGUCUCUCCGUGUGUGUGUGUGUGUGUGUGUGUGUGUGUGUGUGUGUGUGUGUGCAUAUGUGUAUGUGUGUAUAUCUGUGUUUGAGUAAAGAAUCACCCGCAUUCAUUAGUGAGUAAAACAUAGUGGUCAUUAGCAUUUCCCUGAAGGGUCUCUGGAGGAAGCUUGAGCACCUAAGGCACGAUGUGUAGCAUCCUUGUGGGUCACAAAAGUGACAAGGAGAUGGCAAGCCAUUCUCUAAUCUUAGAAAUUAUUAUUGGCAAAUUAUUAAAUCUUUAAGACUGUCCAGGAAACUUUAGU